UCCGUAGGUGAACCUGCGGAAGGAUCAUUAAAAAGGAUACCGGGCAACCGGUAGACCCCACCCGUGUCUAUCUACUCUUGUUGCUUUGGCAGGCCGUGGCCUCCACCGUGGGCUCUGCCUGCGUGUGCCUGCCAGAGGACCAAACUCUGAAUUUUAGUGAUGUCUGAGUACUAUAUAAUAGUUAAAACUUUCAACAACGGAUCUCUUGGUUCUGGCAUCGAUGAAGAACGCAGCGAAAUGCGAUAAGUAAUGUGAAUUGCAGAAAUCAGUGAAUCAUCGAAUCUUUGAACGCACAUUGCGCCCGGUGGUAUUCCGCCGGGCAUGCCUGUUCGAGCGUCAUUAUAACCACUCAAGCCUGGCUUGGUAUUGGGGUUCGCGGUUCCGCGGCCCCUAAAAUCAGUGGCGGUGCCGGUGGGCUCUAAGCGUAGUGAAUCUCCUCGCUAUAGGGUCCCUCCGGUUGCUCGCCAGAACCCCCAAUUUUUUAAGGUUGACCUCGGAUCAGGUAGGGAUACCCGCUGAACUUAAGCAUAUCAAUAAGCGGAGGAAAAGAAACCAACCAAUC
rnacentral:rRNA from 1 species